GAAUUUUGGACAAUGGGCGAAACCCUGACCCAGCAAUGCCGCGUGCAGGUUGCAGGCCUUCGGGUUGUAAACUGCUUUUGUACGGGACGAAAAGCUUUGGGUUAAUACUCUGGAGUCAUGCCGGUUCCGUAAGAAUCAGCACCGGCUAAACACGUGCCAGCAGCCGCGGUAAUACGUAGGGCGCAAGCGUUAAUCGGAAUUACUGGGCGUAAUGCGUGCGCAGGCGGUUUGGUAAGACAGAGGUGAAAUCCCCGGGCUCAACCUGGGAACUGCCUUUGUGACUGCAAGGCUAGAGUACGGCAGAGGGGGGUGGAAUUCCGCGUGUAGCAGUGAAAUGCGUAGAUAUGCGGAGGAACACCGAUGGCGAAGGCAACCCCCUGGGCCUGUACUGACGCUCAUGCACGAAAGCGUGGGGAGCAAACA
rnacentral:rRNA from 1 species